ensembl:lncRNA
AAAAAUAUGAAUUGGCCUGCCUUUUUUUUUACACAGUCAAUGACAACCAGCUGUUCCCAAUUAAGACAAGCAAGGUUUGGUCUCAGACAGAAUAUCUAAGGCACAUGUUGAGGUGCUUGAAUCAUUUGGUCAUCAGGUAGUUUGUGUCCAAAGUGCUGCAACAAUGCUUCUAGCGCUGCCUAUACUUUUAAGCUUUGCUUUCUCUUGCAGUGUCUUUUCUGUUGGCAGUGUGUCUGCUGGAGGUUCCUGGUGUGCAAAAACAGCAAGAGCCAGAGCAGCCGCCAUGGGCUUGGUCCUUCCGAAGACCCCGUUUAUUCCCUAUGGUCUUCCAUCAACGCAACACGGAAGUCAUGAUCCCAAAAGAACCCACUAUGAAAAUAAAAAUGACUUCAGAGAGGCUGAGCUUGGCUCUCCUAGUGACUGGGCUUAUGGUCAAGUCUUUACCAGAGGUGUCCAGUCCAAACCAUCUACACUAAACCAUCGUGCCUCUGAACCCCAACAAGUGGACUCUCUUGGAAAUUAUGCCCCCAGUUACCGAGGGAAAUAUGUUAGCAGCCACGUGCCUGACUUUGAGCGGCUCAAUUCUUCCCCUGAACUAGAAGCAAUGGUUCUUGGUUCGUCUGAGGAAGGGAAUAGUCAGGAUAACUAUAUUCCCAACUUAUUGGCUUAUAGACGUGACCCUGUUGUAUUUCAACAUGUCUCCAGCAGACCAAAAAAAUCCUGGGGUGUGCAUUCACGUCCCUGGGGCAGAGGACCUUUCCCUUAUGGACAGGGCCUUCUCCCAGUCCAAAGGCUGUCGUCCCCCCAUGGCCCUGGACACGGUAAGAGCCUUGUUUCUAGAUCCCCUCCGCCAUCAAGUGAGCGUUUCCGCAGCGUUGGAGCAAGAGGUUCUGCUGACGGAAAGAUUUGGACCCCAGGCCCCGUUUAUUCUCCGUUCCUUGUUCAAAGGGCUGACUAUGAAGCGUGAAGAGUGACAGGAUUUGGUUUUGGAUUUGAAUAAUGAACAAACUGUACUUAGCAAACCAGAGCUUUCGAGGAGCCUAACAUGCCAGCGGGUAGCAAAUCAAUGUUCCUAUUUAGUGUUAAGAUUUUGUGUAAUCCAUUCCAUUCAUUAAGUGUUGUGAAUCAUUACUUGAAGGUCCUGCCCCCCCAACAAGAAUGGACGCUACACUGUCCAAAUGAAGUAAAGGUGUUCACUAGACAGACUGCAGUUCAUGGACUGCAUCUUAAGGUUCACUAUACAACAUUUAUUGUAUUUUUAUUUGAGGAAACUCAAUAUCCUGCAGUAUGAGCAUGUAUUAUUCUGUCUACCUGACUGCAGGUCACUAUAAAUAGACUAAAUAAAAUGUUAUUUAAAAUACAGAACUUGCUUGAUGUUCAACUUUUGAUCCCUGGAAGUGAUUGUCCCUGUAAAACCCUAUUAAAUCUUGAGAUAAAACAAUGGAAUAGAGUCUCAAUCAGAGGUUGUCUCUAAAUAAACGUGACACCUACACUUCAUUAACCUCAAGUUUAUUUGCUGUAGGACUCCCAUAAUAUUCGGUCAAAUGUGUCCAACUGCUCCAACUAAUGGCUCUCAGGCUUGAUGUUCCCAGAGUGCCAUCUACUGGUCAAAGCAGUUAAUUACUGAGUCAUACCAAUCCAGAAUUGUACUGCGCAUCCAACAGAUUACCCCUGGCAAAUCCCAUAAUCUCUUCCGCAUUACCAAAAGGGUAUAAUGAUUUCACGUAGAGUUUUUGUCAAUGGCUCCGUAUUUGUUUGACUUAACAGUUGAACAAAGCCACACCUUCGUUUGCCUUGUGGGCUGUUGUUAGGAUUUCAAGAGGUUUGGAUUGACUGCAUGCCAGGCCUGCUAUGUUUCUUGUCUUGGAAUGCAAAAGCCCCCAUGGAUAAAAUGCAAGAGUUUACUAUAAAUUGACAUAGUCAUGUUCCUGCCUAAUUGCCACAGUAGCCAUAAUAUAGGAUGUUGCACAUGGCAUCCUAAAUGUCUAUUCUUUUUUUGUAAUGUGUUAUCUAUAUAAGAACCAUCUCUGCAGUAGAAGACAAUGUGGAAGUACAUCUUAAGCACAAUCUAUCAAAGCAGAAGGCACUCGGUUACUAUGCAACUAGCCAGCAAUCUUCUAAAAGCAUAAAUUCCAAAAGAAACGACCACUAGGUUGUCAAACGGAUGUACAUUUAUCUGAACC